GACGAACGCUGGCGGCGUGCCUAACACAUGCAAGUCGAACGGAAAGGCCCUGCUUUUUUGGGGUGCUCGAGUGGCGAACGGGUGAGUAACACGUGAGUAACCUUCCCUUUACUUUGGGAUAUCUUCAGGCAACUGGGUCUAAUACCUGCUAGGAGCUCCUGCUUCUUGGUGGGGGUUGGAAAGUUUCGGCGGUUGGGGAUGUACUCGCGUCUUAUUAGCUUGUUGGUGGGGUAGUGGCUUAGCAAGGCCUUGACGGGUAGCCGGCCUGGGAGGGUGAACGGAGACAUUGAGACUGAGAGACGGCCCAGACUCGUACGGGAGGCAGAAGUGGAGAAUAUUACACAAUGGGCGGGAGCCUGAUGAAACAACGCCGCGUGCGGGAAGACGGCCUUCGGGUUGUAAACCGCUGUAGCCUGAGACGAAGCGUGAGUGACGGUAAUGGGAGAAGAAGCACCGGCUAACUACGUG
rnacentral:rRNA from 1 species